CGGACGGGUGAGUAACGCGUGGGUAACCUACCCUGUACACACGGAUAACAUACCGAAAGGUAUGCUAAUACGGGAUAAUAUAUUUGAGAGGCAUCUCUUGAAUAUCAAAGGUGAGCCAGUACAGGAUGGACCCGCGUCUGAUUAGCUAGUUGGUAAGGUAACGGCUUACCAAGGCGACGAUCAGUAGCCGACCUGAGAGGGUGAUCGGCCACAUUGGAACUGAGACACGGUCCAG
rnacentral:rRNA from 1 species